rnacentral:tRNA from 2 species
GGGGAAUAGUUAAGUGGUAUAACAGUGGUCUCCAAAACCAUUAUUGAGAGUUCGAUUCUUUCUUCCCC